rnacentral:rRNA from 1 species
UACGAAGGGUCCAAGCGUUGUUCGGAAUCAUUGGGCGUAAAGCGCGCGCAGGCGGAUUGAUAAGUCAGGUGUGAAAUCUCGAGGCUCAACCUCGAAACUGCGCCUGAAACUAUUAGUCUAGAAUGUCGGAGGGGGCAGGGGAAUUUCACGUGUAGGGGUAAAAUCCGUAGAGAUGUGAAGGAACACCGGGGGCGAAGGCGCCUGCCUGGACGACUAUUGACGCUGAGGCGCGAAAGCGUGGGGAGCAAAC